AUUGAACGCUGGCGGCAGGCCUAACACAUGCAAGUCGAGCGGAUGAAGGGAGCUUGCUCCUGGAUUCAGCGGCGGACAGGUGAGUAAUGCCUAGGAAUCUGCCUGGUAGUGGGGGAUAACGUCCGGAAACGGGCGCUAAUACCGCAUACGUCCUGAGGGAGAAAGUGGGGGAUCUUCGGACCUCACGCUAUCAGAUGAGCCUAGGUCGGAUUAGCUAGUUGGUGGGGUAAAGGCCUACCAAGGCGACGAUCCGUAACUGGUCUGAGAGGAUGAUCAGUCACACUGGAACUGAGACACGGUCCAGACUCCUACGGGAGGCAGCAGUGGGGAAUAUUGGACAAUGGGCGAAAGCCUGAUCCAGCCAUGCCGCGUGUGUGAAGAAGGUCUUCGGAUUGUAAAGCACUUUAAGUUGGGAGGAAGGGCAGUAAGUUAAUACCUUGCUGUUUUGACGUUACCAACAGAAUAAGCACCGGCUAACUUCGU
rnacentral:rRNA from 1 species